rnacentral:lncRNA from 1 species
CUCAAUUAAGUUUACGAGUCAAUUCAUGUUUUGAAAUAACUUAAUAAAGUCAUGCUGCAAUUCGUAUAUUGGCUAAUAAUUUCAUCACCAUAUGCAGAAAAAUGGAUCGAAGUUGGAUGUAUGAACGACUUGAUCCUUCAAGGAGACUUAGCCAACAAUUCAUUACUGGAGUGAUUGAAUUUGUUUCAAAGGCGAUGAAUCAAGAUUUUUAUACUUUAGAUGGAGGGAUAAG